AUUGAACGCUGGCGGCAGGCCUAACACAUGCAAGUCGAGCGAGCGGAGGACGGGUGAGUAAUGUUUGGGGACUGCCCGAUAGAGGGGGAUAACUACUGGAAACGGUGGCUAAUACCGCAUACUGUCUGAUAACCCCUAUGGGAUUAGCUAGUAGGUAAGGUAAUGGCUUACCUAGGCGAUGAUCCCUAGCUGGUCUGAGAGGAUGAUCAGCCACACUGGGACGUAGACACGGCCCAGACUCCUACGGAGGCAGCAGUGGGGAAUAUUGCACAAUGGGCGCAAGCCUGAUGCAGCCAUGCCGCGUGUAUGAAGAAGGCCCUAGGGUUGUAAAGUACUUUCAGUCGGGAGGCGUUACCGACAGAAGAAGCACCGGCUAACUCCGUGCCAGCCGCCGCGGUAAUAC
rnacentral:rRNA from 1 species